AGACACCAGCGAGAUUCGAACUCGCGACCCCUGGUUUACGAGACCUGUGAUCUAACCUCUGAGCUAUGGUUAC
rnacentral:tRNA from 1 species